rnacentral:rRNA from 1 species
AGUGAACGCUGGCGGUAGGCCUAACACAUGCAAGUCGAACGGCAGCACAGUAAGAGCUUGCUCUUACGGGUGGCGAGUGGCGGACGGGUGAGGAAUACAUCGGAAUCUACUUUUUCGUGGGGGAUAACGUAGGGAAACUUACGCUAAUACCGCAUACGACCUACGGGUGAAAGCAGGGGAUCUUCGGACCUUGCGCGAUUGGAUGAGCCGAUGUCGGAUUAGCUAGUUGGCGGGGUAAAGGCCCACCAAGGCGACGAUCCGUAGCUGGUCUGAGAGGAUGAUCAGCCACACUGGAACUGAGACACGGUCCAGACUCCUACGGGAGGCAGCAGUGGGGAAUAUUGGACAAUGGGCGCAAGCCUGAUCCAGCCAUACCGCGUGGGUGGAGAAGGCCUUCGGGUUGUAAAGCCCUUUUGUUGGGAAAGAAAAGCAGCAGGUUAAUACCCCGCUGUUCUGACGGUACCCAAAGAAUAAGCACCGGCUAACUUCGUG